GGGAGCACAUCCCCGGCCUCCCCACGCGCGCUCCAGGCGCGACACCCACACGCGGCUCCUGCAGCGCCGGCGUGAUCCGGGGGGCACAACCACGCGAGGACACACAGAUUUAUACUGAUACACGUCUGUAAUCCCGGGGGGAGCCACCUCCCCCCUCUCCCUCCUCCCUUCCCUCCCCGCGGAGCUGGCAGCCUCGGGGGCCCGCAGCCAGGGAAUGCGAUCUGCCCCCGCGAUUCCAAGCGCAACCAGGUCUCCAUUUUGGGUCUCCGAGCCGCGCCUGGGAAGCGGCGGGGAUCCGCGGCCGUCCUCCCGCUAAUGCCGAGUGACAAAUCGCACUUAGGCGAUACAUGAACGAGAAAAUGAUUUAUGGAUUUUCACGACGGUCUGAGGCGAUGAAGUCGACAUGAAUUAUCCAUCCUAAUGUGCAAUAUAUCAUUUUCUAAUAACACUGGGUUAGCCCUAACGCUGCGUGCUGCUCCCUUCGAUAGCAGGUAUCGAUUUCAUACACGGUCCGAGCUCUGGCUUUCCACCGGACACGCACCUCCUGCAGCACCAGCUGAGCUCUGUGUAUUUACCUCUUCCUAAAGCCCAGGGCUAUGGACGGACCCCUGACACUGUGGCCUUUAGUUUUUCCAUCUGUCAUCAUUUAAUUUGGCAAUUUCUUCGCCGAAUGAAGACUAAUCUUUCGCAUCGCUGCAUUUCACUCUGUGCUGUGAUUUAGAGAUGGAAAUAGAUGAUGCCAGGUCUGUAAAUCCCUCGUGCUGAUGGGGAUGGCACCUGGGUAAGUCAAACCUUUUCCCCCUGCCAAAAUCCUCCUUGGCACCCCAAGUACAACGGGGCAUUUUCUAGCAAGGAAGACAGAUGCUAAAUCACACUCCUGCUCACCCAGAACUUUCCUGGCACCUCGAUUUACCAAAUCUCACAGAUUAUCUUAAAGAUGAAAAACUUUGCAUUUAAUUCAUACAUGCUGGCAGAGUGAAUCAUUGACACAAAAAAACCUGAGUGCAUGUGCAUAAGAGGGGGAAGAGCUGCCAGAUCUGGAGGGGGCUCGGCCCUAGAUGCAGCCUGUGUUAGUGCCCCAAGGCCAGGGCAUCCCCUCUCCCCCACCCAAGUUCUUUUGCCCUUCAUCACAGAGUAGCGAUGAAGUCAUAGUGACAUAAGCUAUGAACAUUCCCAAUUAUUUCAACGGUUCCAAGUCUAAAAUAUCACUUUGACAUUAAGAAGGACGAACAAGUCCUGGCCUUACAUGAAACAGUAUGAAACAGAUAUAGGAAAGAUGGAGCACUGGAGCCAAACAUCUGCCACGGGGUUGCAGAUGUAAGCAGAACUGGAGAUACGAUGUUAAUCAUCAUCCUCACGCUUACGGGAGUUCUCCUGGUGAUAAAAACAACUCAUCGUAUUUAUGACCUUAGACAGCUGUUUUAAUAAGCCACAAUAAAGUACGACUUUAUUACAUGCUCUGUACUCCUUUAGUGAUCAGAUAUGAUGGAGCGUCUCCAGAAGGUGCCGGGAGUCUUUCUGAGUAAGAGUUGCAGUGGAUGCACUACAGUCCAGAACAGAAUUACAGUGGAUGCAUGCUAUAGGAAUUUCUUAAGGACAGUCUUCUGCCUCCUUUUCCUUGCCCCCAAGCAUUCUUUAGAGAUUUCAGGGUGACUACUCAAGCAGCAAGAGGCUGUUCAGUGUGAAACAGUAGAUUGGUACAGUCUACUGCUAUUAUUCCACCUUGUCUAGCUUGAGAGUCUAUCAUAAUGUUUAUCACAAAAAAAAAGAAAUAAAAAUCCCAGCCUGUUUCAUUGA